CUCGCCCCAUCCCAUCGCCGUCUCAGACGAAGCAACGAAACCCGACAUGGAGACCGAAGCCGAGAAGAAUGGCGGAAGAACAACCGACGAAGGAGGCCGAGGAGAAGACCCCCAGCCAAAUCCCCCAACCCCCUCCUUGUUCCCUCUCUUCCCCCUCUCCUCAAACCCAUCUCCGCCUCCCCCGAGCUCCUCCACCGCCUCCCAGUGGCUCUCCAACCCCAGCUUCACCUUCGACAUCUCCUCCCUGCCGGGAUCCGGCGGCGCCGGCCCCGUCGCCUCCUUGCCGCAGGACUCCGACUCCGAGGACGAGGCUGCCGCAGCCGAGGCGGCCCCUCCGGCGCGGCCGCCGACGUACGAUCUGGUGGCCUCCUCGCCCUCGGCGUCCUCGUCGGAAGAGGAUCGCCGGUCGAAGCGCAAGGAGGGUAGGAGGAAGAAGAAGAGGAGGAGGAGGGAGAGGGAGGGGCUGGAUGACGGCGCUUCGAGGAAGUCGGGGGUUCGAGCCUGGGUUGGGUCUGACACCAAGCCCGCCAAGGAUUACUACUUCGAUCUUCGUGGGGAUAGGGAUAAUUUGGCCUUCGGGAGCCUCUAUAGAAUGGAUGUUGCACGGUACAAACUCCAGAAUAGGAUAGGAUUUUCUGGGAUUAAUGUGCAAUUGUUUUAUCAUUGGAAACCUCCAAACUCAUGUGUGGAUGUGGAUGGAGAUCUUGAUGUACUGGACAGUAAAUUGAGAGCAGGAGGCCGAUAUUAUUCAGUGAAAUAUACUGCCUUGGAACGAAACAAGGGUUUCAAGCAUGCGAAAAUUGUUGAGAAGAUGUCUUCAAUGAUUCCUGGAGAAUUUAUCCCUCUAGCAGAGCUGCACUCUUCUCCUGAAAAUGGUAAAAAUGUUUCAAUAACAAAGGGAGAGGUUGAGGAAUCUUGGGAAGAUGAAUUAAUCCAAAGAACGAGAGAGUUUAACAAAAUGUCCAGGGAAUUUCCUCAUGAUGAAAAAGUUUGGUUAGCCUUUGCUGAAUUUCAGGAUAAAAUUGCAAGUACUCAACCUCAAAAAGCAGCUCGCUUGCAGACACUUGAGAAGAAGAUUAGUAUAUUAGAGAAGGCUGUGGAGCUUAAUCCAGAUAAUGAGGAACUGUUGCUUUGUCUUCUGAAGUCUUACCAGGGAAGAGAUAGCACUGAUACUCUUAUAGGAAAGUGGGAGAAAAUACUCAUGCAACACUCUGAUAGUUGUAAGCUGUGGAAAGAGUUUUUACUUCUCUGCCAAGGAGAGUUUUCCCGGUUCAAGGUUUCUGAAAUCAGGAAAAUCUUUGCUCAUGCCAUCCAGGCUAUAUCUUCAGCUUGCAGCAAGCUCUGUAGGCAGGGUAGUCAAACUGAUAGCCUGCAAUCAGUGGAUUCAUCGUUGGCUGAACUAGAACUUGGUCUGGUUGAUAUAUUUGCAGGCCUUUGCAGGUUUGAGUGGCAAACUGGCCACCAAGAAUUAGCAACUGGAUUGUUUCAAGCUGAAAUAGAGUACAGUUUAUUUUGCCCAUCUUUGCAUCUUGGCUCACAAAGUAAACAAAGACUCUUUGAACACUUCUGGAAUAGUGGUGGUGCCAGAAUUGGAGAGGAUGGAGCACUUGGCUGGUCCUCGUGGCUGGAAAAAGAGGAACUAUCCAGGAAGAAUGAUUUUACAGAACUAAUAUCUCAAGAAACUGAAGAAGGUGGCUGGACUGGUUGGUUUGACCCUUCAUCAAAAAAGACUGGAACAAGUAAUGAGCCGGAAAAUUCAAUGGUGACUUCUCUGGGUGAUGAAAAGAUCGAGGAGAACCCUGAGACCGAAGACACUCCACUGGAAGAUGAUAUAGAAACAUUACUAAAGAAGCUUGGAAUCAACGUAGAUGCUGAGCUUGAUAGUGAGGUUAAAGAUGCAAAGACUUGGAAUAGAUGGUCUGAGGAGGAGCUAUCAAGGGACCAUGAGCAAUGGAUGCCUGUUUGCGAACAUUCUGGUGAUGAUGGAAAAUCAAGAUACCCUCCUGAUGAUAAUCCAGACAAAGAUGGCAAUGAACAACUUUCAAGGGUCAUCUUGUUUGAAGAUGUAAACGAGUACCUUUUUUCUUUGUCUUCAGAGGAGGCUCGUUUCUUAUUGGUGUGCCAGUUCAUUGAUUUCUAUGGUGGCAAUAUUUCUCAAUGGACAUGUACAAACAGACCCAGUUGGACUGAAAAGAUUCUUAGCUUAGAGACUGUACCAGAUUCUAUUUUAGAAAAUCUGAGAGUUGUAUUUGGCCUAGUGAAUAAGACUGAAGCUUCUGUUAAAUUGGAGCAUCUUUUGUGCCACACAAGUGAUUUAUCAAGACAAACUAACAUGAUGAAGUUCCUUCGAAACUCAAUUCUGCUUUUUCUUAAUGUUUUUCCACGUAAUCAUCAGUUGGAAGAAGCUGUUCUCAGUGCUGAAGAAUUGUUUAUGUCUAAAGAAAGUUCUUCAACAUUUUCUGUCAAUCCAUCACGAACUUUAGCCAAAAGCCUAUUAAAAAGAGAUCGACAGGACCUGUUACUUUGUGGUGUAUAUGCACGAAGUGAGGCCUCUUAUGGGAAUAUUGAUCUUGCAAGGAAGAUAUUUGAUAUGGCAUUAGCAUCUAUUGAUGGACUUCCAAUGGACCUUUGGGAAAAUGUCCCCCUUCUGUACUUCUGGUAUGCUGAAAUGGAAGUGGCAACAUCUACUUCAUGCAACAAUUCUAAGUUGUCCUUGCAACGUGCUGUUCACAUUUUAUCCUGCUUAGGUGGUAACAUGAAGUACACGCCUUUUAAGUGUCAAACAUUGGGUCUGCAACUCUUAAGGGCACGUCAAGGGUUCAAAGAACAGAUUAAAAGCUUGCGAUCUGCAUGGGCCCGUGGCGAUGUAAAGGAACAUUCUGUUGCUUACAUUUGUUCAGCUUCUUUGUUUGAGGCCUUGACUACGGGUUGGUCUGCUGGUAUUGAAGUUAUAGAGCAGGCCUUUGCAAUGGCACUUCCAGAAAGAAGAAGCAGGAGCUUGCAACUUGAAUCCUUGUGGGUCCAUUACAUUGGUGUGCUCCAGAAACAUGUUAAGCAGUUGAGGUUCUCAAGGGUGUGGGAGGCUAUAGCACAAGGGCUUCAAAUAUAUCCUUACAACCCAAAACCUUAUAUUGCCAUGAUAGAAGCAAGCUAUCUUUAUACCGUGCCAAACAAAGUUCGUAUUAUGUUUGAUGAAUGUAGUCAGAGGAACCCAUCUGUAAUUUUGUGGCUCUUUGCAUUGUCAUUUGAAUUGGGCAAAGCUGGCUCUCAGCAUAGAAUUCAUGGACUUUUUGAGAGAGCGUUGGCGAAUGUUAAAUUGCAGAAAUCGGUAUUAAUAUGGCGCUGCUACCUUGCAUAUGAGGCAGAUAUUGCACGUAAUCCUUCUGCAGCAAGACGGAUUUUCUUUAGAGCCAUUCAUGCCUGCCCGUGAUUAUCCCUUGUGGCUGAGGUGAUGAUGUGAUGCUGUGAUGAAAACAAAGUGGUAAUAUAUGGUUCUUGACCACUUGAAUAAAAUGAAUUUGAGCAAUUCAGAAAAUUGCUCAAUUUUUUCCAUUUUUAGUUUCCACAUCCUUUUCAGAUUUUGGCCCUUGUGGCUGAGGUGAUGAUGUGAUGCUGUGAUGAAAACAAAGCGGUAUAUGGUUCUUGACCACUUGAAUAAAAUGAAUUUGAGCAAUUCAGAAAAUUGCUCAAUUUUUUUCCAUUUCUUUAUACUUAGAAAGGAUAAGGGAUGAUGCUAAUGGACUAAUGAAGCUUUUACAAUGAACUUCAAUUAUCCCUUUCCAAGUGAUGCAGGUCCCCAGUUUCAAGUCGAGGGAUUUACUUGGAAUACAAAGAUUCCCUCUAAAAUCCAAGUCUUCACUUAGUUUGUCACCAAGGUCUGAGAGGGGAUGCUGGUAUCUGCGACACCCCUUAAUGAGGAAUCCGGCACCUUUAUCCUUAUAAUGGGUUGCUUAGAGACAGACAAAUUAGGUGGGCUUCAUAUUUUUUGCCAGUAUGGUGUGAAAUACCGGGCAUUUUUUCUUUGUUGGGCCAUGGGGCUGGUGAAUGAGAUUUUAAUAUUCAUUGUUUUGGCACUUUGGCUGCUCAUUUAUACCAUGUUGAUGAAGAAUGGAGCUUUGAUUAAUGAUCUGCUUAGUGUAGUACGAUGGAUGUACAUAUAUUUCAUUUUUGUAUCAUUUAGAAUGGAAAUUGGUCCCUGAGACAAAUGCCAGAUGGAUUCAUGUGGGAAUUCAACCAAAACUUGCAACCUUUGUGCCGAUCCCAAGUCCCCAAAGUUCAACCUCCCUUGAUCCAUGCUGGAUUUUAGUUGAAACAUCCAUCAAUGCCUGUGGUUUCUUCUAAAACGGAUAAUGAUAAAACACGAUUCUUUGUAAAACAAGUUUUGUGGGAAAUAAGGGGAGAUCUGUUUUUCAUAAUGCUCACUUUUCUGGUUUUAUGACUUUUUAAAUUUUGGCAAAACAUGUUUGAUGAAAAACAUCUAAACAACUAUUCUUGUAAUGCCCAAUGAUUUUGGGUUUUCUGCAAACCUGUUUUACUACCUCUAGG